rnacentral:rRNA from 1 species
GUGGGGAAUAUUGGACAAUGGGGGGAACCCUGAUCCAGCCAUGCCGCGUGUGUGAAGAAGGCCUUUUGGUUGUAAAGCACUUUAAGCGAGGAGGAGGCUACCGAGAUUAAUACUCUUGGAUAGUGGACGUUACUCGCAGAAUAAGCACCGGCUAACUCUGUGCCAGCAGCCGCGGUAUUACAGAGGGUGCAAGCGUUAAUCGGAUUUACUGGGCGUAAAGCGCGCGUAGGUGGCCAAUUAAGUCAAAUGUGAAAUCCCCGAGCUUAACUUGGGAAUUGCAUUCGAUACUGGUUGGCUAGAGUAUGGGAGAGGAUGGUAGAAUUCCAGGUGUAGCGGUGAAAUGCGUAGAGAUCUGGAGGAAUACCGAUGGCGAAGGCAGCCAUCUGGCCUAAUACUGACACUGAGGUGCGAAAGCAUGGGGAGCAAACAGGAUUAGAUACCCCUGUAGUCC